AUUGAACGCUGGCGGCAGGCCUAACACAUGCAAGUCGAGCGAGCGGCGGACGGGUGAGUAAUGUAUGGGGACUGCCCGUUAGAGGGGGAUAACUACUGGAAACGGUGGCUAUUACCGCAUACUAUCGGAUCACCCAAAUGGGAUUAGCUAGUAGGUGGGGUAAAGGCUAACCUGGGCGACGAUCUCUAGCUGGUCUGAGAGGAUUACCAGCCACACUGGGACUGAGACACUGCCCAGACUCCUACGGAGGCAGCAGUGGGGAAUAUUGCACAAGUGGCACAAGCCUGAUGCAGACAUGCCGCGUGUAUGAAGAAGGCCUUAGGGUUGUAAAGUACUUUCAGCGGGGAGGCGUUACCCGCAGAAGACGCACCGGCUAACACCGUGACAGCAGCCGCGGUAAUUC
rnacentral:rRNA from 1 species